GUGAGCCUCAAAAUAAACUUUUCCUCUUCUAAAAUUGUUCUUUCAGGUCUUUUGGUUACAGCAAUGAACAAGCUGACUAAAACAGUCUCACACAUGAGCUUUUGGGAACAUCUCCUGUCUAACAUGGACUGAACCAAUACUUCCCACCCAGCCAUGACAUCCUGGAUGCUGAACCCAAGAAACUCCUUCCCAUGUCUCCAACAAGAUGUGUAAAGCUCUGUUCAUUGUAGAAAUGUUUGUAAUACAGAAGAUUUGGAAACACCUAAAAGCUUGCAAAUGGGAAAGUAGAUAAAUAAAAUGUGUUACAUACAAAUAAUGAAAAAUGUUAGGCAGAUAAAGGAAUGCUCAGGCCCACAUCUACUUAUAUCAGUCUGGAGCAAUCUCAAAAGCAUCACCUGGGCUGGGAAAAGGUGAGAAGCAGUAAGAGAUGUAUACCAACAGGCCAUGCAUAUAUAUUUUUUAAAAUAUUUUUUUAGUUUGCAGAUGGACACAAUACCUUUAUUUUAUUUAUUUUUCUGUGGUACUGAGGAUCAAAUCCAGAGCCUUACACAAGCUAAGCAAGCACUCUAUCACUAAGCCACAACCCCAGCCCCUGCAUAUAUGUUUAAAAGCACACACAUAAUACCAAAAUUGCAAAUAGAAAUAUAAUCAAGGAAGACAUAGAAAAAAAUCGAAACAAAAAAAAAUCACAGGAAUAAAUCCUGUGGUAGGUCGAGGAAAAUGAGAUUUGGGAUAGGGUAAGG
rnacentral:lncRNA from 1 species